rnacentral:rRNA from 1 species
UACAGAGGUCCCGAGCGUUGUUCGGAUUCAUUGGGCGUAAAGGGUGCGUAGGCGGCGAGCUAAGUUUGGUGUGAAAUCCUGGGGCUUAACCUCAGAAUUGCACUGAAUACUGGUUGCUAGAGGACUGGAGAGGAGAUUGGAAUUCGACGGUGUAGCAGUGAAAUGCGUAGAUAUCGUGAGGAAGACCAGUGGCGAAAGCGAAUCUCUGGACAGAUCCGUGACGCUGAUGCACGAAGGCUAGGGGAGCAAACGGG